rnacentral:tRNA from 1 species
GCCCGGGUGUCGGAAUAGGUAGACGAUACAGGCUUAAAACCUGUUGAGGAGUUCUCCUCGUGUGGGUUCGAGUCCCACCCCGGGCA